UGGGCAAUCUGCCCUGCACUCUGGGACAAGCCCCUGUUAAAGGGGUCUAAUCCCGGAUACUGACCCGCUUGGGCAUCCAAGCGGUUCGAAAGCUCCGGCGGUGCAGGAUUAGCCCGCGGCCUAUCAGCUUGUUGGUGAGGUAAUGGCUCACCAAGGCGACGACGGGUAGCCGGCCUGAGAGGGCGACCGGCCACACUGGGACUGAGACACGGCCCAGACUCCUACGGGAGGCAGCAGUGGGGAAUAUUGCACAAUGGGCGAAAGCCUGAUGCAGCGACGCCGCGUGAGGGAUGACGGCCUUCGGGUUGUAAACCUCUUUCAGCAGGGAAGAAGCGAAAGUGACGGUACCUGCAGAAGAAGCGCCGGCUAACUACGUGCCAGCAGCCGCGGUAAUACGUAGGGCGCAAGCGUUGUCCGGAAUUAUUGGGCGUAAAGAGCUCGUAGGCGGCUUGUCGCGUCGGUUGUGAAAGCCCGGGGCUUAACCCCGGGUCUGCAGUCGAUACGGGCAGGCUAGAGUUCGGUAGGGGAGAUCGGAAUUCCUGGUGUAGCGGUGAAAUGCGCAGAUAUCAGGAGGAACACCGGUGGCGAAGGCGGAUCUCUGGGCCGAUACUGACGCUGAGGAGCGAAAGCGUGGGGAGCGAACAGGAUUAGAUACCCUGGUAGUCCACGCCGUAAACGGUGGGCACUAGGUGUGGGCAACAUUCCACGUUGUCCGUGCCGCAGCUAACGCAUUAAGUGCCCCGCCUGGGGAGUACGGCCGCAAGGCUAAAAACUCAAAGGAAUUGACGGGGGCCCGCACAAGCGGCGGAGCAUGUGGCUUAAUUCGACGCAACGCGAAGAACCUUACCAAGGCUUGACAUACACCGGAAACAUUCAGAGAUGGGUGCCCCCUUGUGGUCGGUGUACAGGUGGUGCAUGGCUGUCGUCCAGCUCGUGUCGUGAGAUGUUGGGUUAAGUCCCGCAACGAGCGCAACCCUUGUCCCGUGUUGCCAGCAGGCCCUUGUGGUGCUGGGGACUCACGGGAGACCGCCGGGGUCAACUCGGAGGAAGGUGGGGACGACGUCAAGUCAUCAUGCCCCUUAUGUCUUGGG
rnacentral:rRNA from 2 species